rnacentral:lncRNA from 10 species
GCUCACUCUGGGCCAAAUAACAGGACUGAUUGCAGCCUGCGAUGAAACAUCCUGUUUCUCCCAACCAGAAACAGGUAGAGGUAAUACAUUUUUAAAGGAAAGAGCUUUAUAUUUGAAUAUCUUUGGCUUCACUUUCCUCCCACUUUCUGUACAAGGGACCCUCAGCACCACGAUGUGCAUCUUAGAAAUGGAGACUCAUCAUAGCUGUUGGAUGGUGAUUGAACCUGGGCUUCCAAAAUGCAACAGGAGGCUCUCCCAGCGUGAAGGCAGUGUCUCUGCUAUACGUGAGCUGCAACUGUCAACCACACAAGACUUCAAAGCACUUAAAAACCACCCCCAUGCUCUGCCUUGAGCCCUCAAGAGGCGUUAGAACAUCCAUCCUUCAACUGCAGAAUCCCUGCACCUUGAAUCAAACCUGUGCACCCUCUCCCCUCCUUCUGCCUCUUUAUCCUUCGUCUUAGACAUGUCAAUGGGAGGACGAGGUGCUGUGCCUAUCCUGGGCUAGAAAUUUGUGGAUAGAAUCGUGAGCAACUACAUUUUGUUUCUCUCCCAUUAACUGAAAUUCUACACAACAUGCUAAGAGUUUUAUGCCUGAAACGCAGGCCAGCUCUAUCUUUCUCCCUGGUUUAGCAUUAACCAGCACCUCACUAUGACUGAGGAUGUUUUAAGACAAACCUCCACAACAACGCAUGCAAAGCACAUCUUGAGUGAUUAAAUUUUCAUAUCUGUAAAAGAGAAAUACUUCAUAGUACCUAUCUCGUGGGGUUUUUGUUCAAUUAAAGCUCUAUUGCAGGUGAGAUGAUGGAUGAUACCAUGUUUAAUAUUUUCACUAUUAUAUUACAAUUAUAUGGCAUUAGCCCGGCCAUGCAAAUACGUGUGUAAGCUCUGUGACUUCCCACUAGUGGCAAGUGAGUUCUUAAGAAUGUUGCUUUCCUUUUGUGUCUUUGGUGGUGCAAAUGGUUUCAAUGAAGAUUGUCUAAUCUAAAGCCUGCUGAUUUUCAUAUCUAUGAAAUAAAAGUGAGAGCAAAUUUUCUGUCUGAAAUAUACUUGUAUAUAAACCAUCAACUCCUAUGUUUUUGUUGUGUUCUAUUUUUGCAAUUCUCUUUCAUGUUGGGGAAAAAGUGCCUAUUUUGUAUUCUACAUAUUGGCAUCCACUUUGUGGCAUUUAUAUAUUUUGAU